rnacentral:miRNA from 1 species
UGUUGCUUUCUCUUUCUCCGUGUGUGUGUGUAUAUAUAUAUAUAUAUACACACACACACACAUACAUACAUACUCCAUACACACACAC